rnacentral:rRNA from 1 species
ACGGUUAGAUACCCCACUAUGCCUAGCCCUAAAUCUAGAUACCUCCCAUCACACAUGUAUCCGCCUGAGAACUACGAGCACAAACGCUUAAAACUCUAAGGACUUGGCGGUGCCCCAAACCCACCUAGAGGAGCCUGUUCUAGUA